rnacentral:rRNA from 1 species
AGAGUUCGAUCCUGGCUCAGGAUGAACGCUAGCGGCAGGCUUAACACAUGCAAGUAGAACGGUAACAGAGAGAGCUUGCUCUUUGCUGACGAGUUGCGAACGGGUGCGUAACGCGUAUGCAACCUACCCAUAACAGGGGGAUAGCCCAUAGAAAUGUGGAUUAAUACCCCAUAAUAUCAUUUUUUGGCAUCAGAGAAUGAUUAAAACUCCGGUGGUUAUGGAUGGGCAUGCGUGACAUUAGCUAGUUGGUGAGGUAACUGCUCACCAAGGCAACGAUGUCUAGGGGUUCUGAGAGGAUGAUCCCCCACACUGGUACUGAGACACGGACCAGACUCCUACGGGAGGCAGCAGUGAGGAAUAUUGCGCAAUGGAGGAAACUCUGACGCAGCCAUGCCGCGUGCAGGAAGACUGCCCUAUGGGUUGUAAACUGCUUUUAUAUAGGAAGAACUACAGCUACGUGUAGCUGUUUGACGGUACUAUACGAAUAAGGACCGGCUAACUCCGUGCCAGCAGCCGCGGUAAUAC